UUGAUGCUGAAGAAAAUGAGCUAUAAAUUACGCUUCUGGCUGAUGGAGUUGGGCUCUGAGCCUCCAUGGAUGCAGACCUCCAUGAGACAACUGUUCAGAAGACCUAAAAAUAAACACUCAAGUUCAAAUCCUGAAGUUCUUUGCUUUCUUCUUGCCUUGCUCAAAGAGAUCUCCAGGGCAUCUGUGCUGCUCCAGAACACAUGAUGAAUAACAAUCUGAAUGAUAAAGAAGAUAAGCAGGAAAUGUCUCCACAUCAGAGAAAAUGUCUGACUUGUUAGACUGUCAUUUAAGGAAAUUUCCAUAUAGAAGACAAACUUUCACAGGGCAGAACUGCACUCAGCAAUGCGGUCUGUAUUCUGCAGAACGUUCCCUUCACAUCAGCUACAGUGGGAGCCUGGGGAACAGCACUGGUUCUUCUUUUAAUAUACUGAAAAUCUUACUUGAACGUUGCUUCAACCAUUAUUGAAACUGCAACUGUUUCUCCACCCCUUCCCUGCAUGUGCUCUCUUUGCCCAAAACUGGGCUGAGGAGUGGAGUUAUUGGAGCCCUUAGGAAAAUAAAUAAAUAAAUAAAUAAAUAAACCAAACCA